CUGGCUUCCCAGUGAAGCGGGGGGAGGAACGGAAGGGAGCCCUUACGGAGCCCCUUUCCUUCCCUCAUCCUGCAUCGCUGGGAAGACAG